GACGAACGCUGGCGGCGUGCUUAACACAUGCAAGUCGAACGGAAAGGCCCUGCUUUUGUGGGGUGCUCGAGUGGCGAACGGGUGAGUAACACGUGAGUAACCUGCCCUUGGCUUUGGGAUAACUUCAGGAAACUGGGGCUAAUACCGGAUAGGAGCUCCUGCUGCAUGGUGGGGGUUGGAAAGUUUCGGCGGUUGGGGAUGGACUCGCGGCUUAUCAGCUUGUUGGUGGGGUAGUGGCUUACCAAGGCUUUGACGGGUAGCCGGCCUGAGAGGGUGACCGGCCACAUUGGGACUGAGAUACGGCCCAGACUCCUACGGGAGGCAGCAGUGGGGAAUAUUGCACAAUGGGCGGAAGCCCGAUGCAGCAACGCCGCGUGCGGGAUGACGGCCUUCGGGUUGUAAACCGCUUUCGCCUGUGACGAAGCGUGAGUGACGGUAAUGGGUAAAGAAGCACCGGCUAACUACGUG
rnacentral:rRNA from 1 species